UUUGUAUUGUUUGUAGUUUGAUCAACGUUUGUGUAAGUAGUAGACAUGUUAGGGAAGUAACACGUAACAUUUUAAUUACAUUUUGCUAAAAUGAACGAAAUGACUCAAAAAAAAAAAGAUUUGUUAAUUUUGCUGAAUGAGACUGAGUUUGCUGAUGACACUCAACUCUACUUCUCAUUCCAACCAGAUGACCCGACGGUAGUUGCUCGCAUUUCAGCCUGUCUGAGUGACAUUUCUAGCUGGAUGAAUGACCAUCACCUUCAGCUCAACCUUACUAAGACUGAACUGCUGGUGGUUCCAGCUAACCCAUCGUUUCAUCACAACUUCUCUAUACAGCUGGGAUCGUCAAACAUAACUCCUUCCAGGACAGCCAGAAACCUAGGAGUUGUGAUGGAUCAUCAGUUAAGCUUCACAGACCAUAUUGCUACAACGACCCGGUCCUGUAGAUUUGCCUUAUUCAACAUUAGGAAGAUUAGACCCUUCCUGUCAGAGCAAUCCACCCAACUUCUUGUCCAAGCUCUUGUUCUCUCCAGACUGGACUAUUGCAAUGCUCUCCUGGCGGGCCUUCCUGCAUGUACUAUCAAGCCUCUACAACUGAUCCAGAAUGCAGCAGCGAGGGUUGUCUUCAAUGAGCCGAAAACAGCCCAUGUUACUCCUCUCCUCAUCAGGUUACACUGGCUACCAGUAGCCGCUCGCAUCAAAUUCAAGGUACUGAUGCUUGCCUACAAAACGACCACUGGCACGGCGCCAACUUACCUAAACUCACUAGUUCAAUCUUAUGCACCCUCCAGAAGUUUGCGCUCUGCAAGUGAACGACGCCUUGUGUUGCCAUCCCAAAGAGGUUCAAAAUCACUCUCACGGACUUUUUCCUGGACUGCUCCCAGCUGGUGGAAUGACCUCCCGAUCUCAAUUCGAACAGCUGAGUCUUUACUCAUUUUCAAAAAACAUCUAAAGACUCAUCUUUUUCGCCUGCACUUAACCAACUAAUACUAGUACUUACCUUUUUUCUUUUCUAUCAUAUUCCCAAAAAAAAAAACCCUGGCUACGUGUUCUGUACUAGACUAACUGAGACUUGUCAUAGCACUUGUAUACCGUUGUUGUUCUCGUUGAUCUGAUUGUUUCUACUGUUCUCAUUUGUAAGUCGCUUUGGAUAAAAGCGUCUGCUAAAUGAUUAAAUGUAAAUGUAAAUGUAAAGGUCCAAGUUGGUGAAAUGAUCCAAACUUCCAAUCAUUAGUCACUACCGAGGAUGCAAGUCUGAAAGAUAUAAUUAGUUUUGAGU
ensembl:lncRNA